rnacentral:rRNA from 1 species
UACGGAGGGUGCAAGCGUUAUCCGGAUUCACUGGGUUUAAAGGGUGCGUAGGCGGGUAUGUAAGUCAGUGGUGAAAUCUUGGAGCUUAACUCCGAAACUGCCAUUGAUACUAUAUAUCUUGAAUAUCGUUGAGGUUUGCGGAAUAUGUCAUGUAGCGGUGAAAUGCUUAGAUAUGACAUAGAACACCAAUUGCGAAGGCAGCAGGCUAAACGAACAUUGACGCUGAGGCACGAAAGCGUGGGGAUCAAACAGG